rnacentral:lncRNA from 1 species
AAAUAAAUCAUUCUACCAAAAAGACACAUGUACGUGUAUGUUCAUCACAGCACUGUUCACAAUAGUGAAGACAUGGAAUCAACCUAGGUGCCCAUCAAGGGUGGAUUAGAUAAGGAAAAUGUGGUACAUAUACACUGUGGAAUACUACGCAGCCAUAAAAAAGAAUAAAAUCCUGCUUUUUGCAGCAAACGUGGAUGCAGUUAGAGGCCAUUAUCCUAAGUCAAUUAACACAGGAACAGAAAACCAAAUACCACAUGUUCUCACUUAUAAGUGGGAGCUAAACAAUGGGUACUCAUGGACAUAAAGAUAGCAACGAUAGAUACUGGGGACUACAAGAGGAGGGAGGGAAGGAGAGGGGAAGGGUUGGAAAUCUAACUACUGUGUACCAUGCUCAAUACCUGGGUGAUGGAAUCACUCGUACCCCAGACCUCAGCAUUAUACAAUAUACCCAGGUAACAAACCUGCACAUGUAUCCCCUGAAACUAAAAUAAAAGUUGAAACUAUUAAAAAAAAAAGGACUGAGAUAUUUAUAAGCCCAGAAUGAAAAGCAAAACACCAACUCACUCAGCAAGUGGAGGCAGAGGUUCCUCUUGGUAUUUCUCCUUCAAAAGCAACUGUAUAACAGUUGUCUCCUCCAUCUUCCCACCCCCAGGAAUUCCCCAGAAUCAUUGCAUCCCUGCCCUGUGCUGUCUUCCCAUUAUGACGUUUCUUUCUGCUAUCGAAGAGAGCUGACUGCACCAGAUUAUGCAGAGAAUAAAUAGGCCCCCAGACUUCCCUGGAGUGGUCCACGGGGCAAUGCUAUUCAGAAACACUGGCUGAUUGUAACAAUUGUGGCCUCUUCUCCUACAACAGUGAUGCUCUUAGCUGCUCAUGUUUCUCAAGACAACAAUGUUGACUUUGGAACCUGUGAUCUCUCUGGUCACAUACUACACUACAGACCAGCCACCUGAACUUGGAAGCACAGCUGAACUGGAAGAAAACUGCUGGAGACUUUGCUUAUUUCAUAGUAUAUAUAAUGAAUAGGAAAUAUAAAGAUAU